UUCCGUUUUCAAGUUUUUUUUAACGCAAUUAGCGUUUAUUCGAUGUUUGUCCACUGUGUUAUUAUGACGGUGAACAGCUCUUUGUGGUUGCGUUUUAAAAUAACAGAUCAGUCAAUGCAUCAACUGAAAUCCACAAUUAACUGCCUAAUUUAUAUUUCAUUCUAAUUGCUUGCUGAAUAUGGCAUUGCGGUGGUGAAAUAAUGCCGACAAUGCAUUACAUUUAAUGCACGCGUUUAAUGGAUUUAACACACAAUCUGCUCACGUGGCAGGAAAGCAGCAGCUGCAGCAGCUGAACUGGCAUUCCAAUGUUUACAGUAGCAUGAGUUGUGUGUCUGUGGCUAUGGGGAAAAAGAAAAACUGCACAGAUGUACAUCAGGGUACACCAAGUGUAUCAGAUGCAACUGCUGCCUUUCUCUGAAAAGGGUGACUAAAGACGACAUGACACACCAGAACACUAGAGUACAUUCCAGAUACACUGGUGGGGUUUCUAGGAAUUGGAGAAUGUGAUUUAGAUGGUCUGGGGUCUGAGGAGACUCAGGAGACUACCAAUG